AUUGAACGCUGGCGGCAGGCCUAACACAUGCAAGUCGAGCGGAUGAAGGGAGCUUGCUCCUGGAUUCAGCGGCGGACGGGUGAGUAAUGCCUAGGAAUCUGCCUGGUAGUGGGGGAUAACGUCCGGAAACGGGCGCUAAUACCGCAUACGUCCUGAGGGAGAAAGUGGGGGAUCUUCGGACCUCACGCUAUCAGAUGAGCCUAGGUCGGAUUAGCUAGUUGGUGGGGUAAAGGCCUACCAAGGCGACGAUCCGUAACUGGCCUGAGAGGAUGAUCAGUCACACUGGAACCUAGACCCCGUCCCAAACUCUAAGGGGGGCAGCAGCUGGGAAAAUUUGCCAAGUGGCGAAAGGCUGAUUCCGCCAUGCCGCGUGUGUGAAGAAGGUCUUCGGAUUGUAAAGCACUUUAAGUUGGGAGGAAGGGCAGUAAGUUAAUACCUUGCUGUUUUGACGUUACCAACAGAAUAAGCACCGGCUAACUUCGUG
rnacentral:rRNA from 1 species